GAUGAACGCUGGCGGCGUGCCUAAUACAUGCAAGUCGAGCGAACAGACGAGGAGCUUGCUCCUCUGACGUUAGCGGCGGACGGGUGAGUAACACGUGGAUAACCUACCUAUAAGACUGGGAUAACUUCGGGAAACCGGAGCUAAUACCGGAUAAUAUAUUGAACCGCAUGGUUCAAUAGUGAAAGACGGUUUUGCUGUCACUUAUAGAUGGAUCCGCGCCGCAUUAGCUAGUUGGUAAGGUAACGGCUUACCAAGGCAACGAUGCGUAGCCGACCUGAGAGGGUGAUCGGCCAGACUGGAACUGAGACACGGUCCAGACUCCUACGGGAGGCAGCAGUAGGGAAUCUUCCGCAAUGGGCGAAAGCUUGACGGAGCAACGCCGCGUGAGUGAUGAAGGUCUUCGGAUCGUAAAACUCUGUUAUUAGGGAAGAACAAAUGUGUAAGUAACUAUGCACGUCUUGACGGUACCUAAUCAGAAAGCCACGGCUAACUACGUG
rnacentral:rRNA from 1 species